rnacentral:rRNA from 1 species
GGAGGUUUGGCACCUCGAUGUCGGCUCAUCGCAUCCUGGGGGUGAAGAAGCUCCCAAGGGUUUGGCUGUUCGCCAAUUAAAGCGGUACGCGAGCUGGGUUCAGAACGUCGUAAGACAGUUCGGUCCUUAUCCAUCGUGGGCGUAGGGUAUUUGAGAGAACUUGUUCCUAGUACGAGAGGACCGGAAUGAGUAAGCCUCUGGUGUUCCAGUUGUUUACCAAAAGCAACGCUGGGUAGCUAUGCUUAUAAGAGAUAACCGCUGAAAGCAUCUAAGCGGGAAACUCAUCUCGAGAUUAGAUACCCCGUAAUAAUUAAGUUUGUUUGAGAACUUCGGUUCAAUUACAGAUAAGGUUAUUACAUAGUAAGACUCCUUGAAGACGACAAGGUUGAUAGGCUGGAUGUGUAAGUGCAGUAAUGCAUUAAGCUAACCAGUACUAAUAAGUCGAGAGUUUUAAUCA